GAUCAGCCUUUCUACUUCCCUCAUGGUCCCAGACAGUCAUGCUUUACAUGGGUCCAACUCUCAUAUAGCAUUCGAUGUUUUACCUCAUUAUCACACAUCAUCAUAUCGUAUUGUACAUCAAAUCAACGCAUCAUAUCUGUGAUCCCUUUACUGAAUAAUAAAACACCGUUCUACAAACA